rnacentral:rRNA from 1 species
UACGAAGGGUGCAAGCGUUAAUCGGAAUUACUGGGCGUAAAGCGUGCGUAGACGGCCUGUUAAGUCGGAUGUGAAAGCCCCGGGCUCAACCUGGGAAUGGCAUCCGAUACUGGUGGGCUGGAGUGCGGUAGAGGAGAGCGGAAUUCCCGGUGUAGCGGUGAAAUGCGUAGAGAUCGGGAGGAACAUCCGUGGCGAAGGCGGCUCUCUGGACCAGCACUGACGUUGAGGCACGAAAGCGUGGGGAGCAAACAGGG